AGUGCAGCUCUGCGCGGCCAUCGGGAGCGGGGCCCAGCUCCCGAUGGCUGCGCAGAGCUGCCU
rnacentral:miRNA from 1 species